rnacentral:RNase_P_RNA from 2 species
AAAGCGGGCCAGGCAAUCGCGGCCUCGACGGUUUCGACCGAAGAGGGCGAGGAAAGUCCGGACUCCACAGGGCAGGGUGAUGGCUAACGGCCAUCCGUGGCGACACGCGGAACAGGGCAACAGAAAGCAAACCGCCGAUGGCUCCGGGCGCAAGUCGCAAGUCCGGAGAUCAGGCAAGGGUGAAACGGUGCGGUAAGAGCGCACCGCGGACGUCGCGAGACGCUCCGGCACGGUAACCUCCACCCGGAGCAAUUCCAAAUAGGCAGGCACGCACCCUCGCGAUGCAGGACGGGACCCCGUUCGUCUGCGGGUAGGAAGCUUGAGCGCGUUAGCAAUGGCGCGUCUAGAGGAAUGAUUGCCACGCGCGUCCGGCGUCAGGCCGGCGCGUGCACAGAAUCCGGCUUAUCGGCCCGCUUUGUCG